CGUUGAGCUUCAACGACGUUUUCUGGCCAAUUGGCUGAUGCUUUCGCUCCGAUUUGGCCAUAGGUGGGUUUAAAAUCAAAUUCUGAGCAAAUGGUAUAAUUUUUACCUCGUUUGGCAGCCGAAAAUUGCUCUGAUACGGCGGCGGGUGGCGGCGGUCAGCUCCCCGGUGGCUGGGCUAUCUUCUCCGGCGAGGGACUCUAGCGGCUAGGGUUAGGGUUUGGGUGCGAAUGGGGUUAUUUAUACCCAUCCGCUUUUGAUCUGAG
rnacentral:lncRNA from 1 species